rnacentral:lncRNA from 13 species
GUGCUGUCUUAAGCUUGAAGACUAAGUUGGGCUUUAAAUCUCACAAAAGACUUGAAUCUGAAUCCUUCUAACCAGCAUGGCUGGACUGGAGUUUUUUGAUAGUGUUUGACUUCAGCAAGUCUCUACAUGAGCCUCUGAUCUAGUGUUGGAACAAAGCAAUGGCAAAGGGAGGCCCAGCUUGGAAUGAGUCAGGCGGAGACUGAUGCCUUGUUUCUUGUUAAACACCAUUCUCCCUCCAGACGGAGUCUUGCUCUGUUGCCAGGCUGAAGUGCAGUGGCGCCAUCUUGGCUCAGUACUACCUCUGCCUCCCGGGUUCAUACAAUUCCCCUGCCUUAGCCUCCUGAGUACUGGGACUGCAGGUGAGCACCGCCACACCUGGCUAAUUUUUUUCUAUUUUAGUAGAGAUGGGGUUUCACCAUGUUGGCCAGGAUGUUCUUGAUCUCCUGACCUUGUGAUCUGCCCCCUAUCUGUUUUUAAACUGAGG